rnacentral:rRNA from 1 species
ACAAGUCGAGCAGGGACGAAAGUCGGGCUUAGUGAUCCGGUGGUUCCGUAUGGAAGGGCCAUCGCUCAACGGAUAAAAGCUACCCUGGGGAUAACAGGCUUAUCUCCCCCAAGAGUCCACAUCGACGGGGAGGUUUGGCACCUCGAUGUCGGCUCGUCGCAUCCUGGGGCUGUAGUCGGUCCCAAGGGUUGGGCUGUUCGCCCAUUAAAGCGGUACGCGAGCUGGGUUCAGAACGUCGUGAGACAGUUCGGUCCCUAUCCGUCGCGGGCGCUGGAGAUUUGAAGAGAGCCAUCCUUAGUACGAGAGGACCGGGAUGGACACACCGCUGGUGUACCAGUUGUCAUGCCAAUGGCAUAGCUGGGUAGCUAUGUGUGGGAAGGAUAAACGCUGAAAGCAUCUAAGCGUGAAGCCCCCUUUAAGAUGAGAUCUCCCAUUCCAUUAAGGAAGUAAGACCCCUGAUAGACGAUCAGGUAGAUAGGCUGAGAGUGUAAGUAUAGUGAUAUAUUGAGCAGAUCAGUACUAAUCGGUCGAGGACUUAACCAC